UACGGAGGGUCCAAGCGUUAUCCGGAAUCAUUGGGUUUAAAGGGUCCGUAGGCGGUUUUGUAAGUCAGCGGUGAAAGCCCAUCGCUCAACGGUGGAACGGCCAUUGAUACUGCAAGACUUGAAUUAUUGGGAAGUAACUAGAAUAUGUAGUGUAGCGGUGAAAUGCUUAGAGAUUACAUGGAAUACCAAUUGCGAAGGCAGGUUACUACCAAUAUAUUGACGCUGAUGGACGAAAGCGUGGGGAGCGAACAGG
rnacentral:rRNA from 1 species